GUGGGGAAUUUUGGACAAUGGGCGCAAGCCUGAUCCAGCAAUGCCGCGUGCAGGAAGAAGGCCUUCGGGUUGUAAACUGCUUUUGUACGGAACGAAACGGUCCUGGCUAAUAUCCGGGGCUAAUGACGGUACCGUAAGAAUAAGCACCGGCUAACUACGUGCCAGCAGCCGCGGUAAUACGUAGGGUGCGAGCGUUAAUCGGAAUUACUGGGCGUAAAGCGUGCGCAGGCGGUGCUGUAAGACAGGCGUGAAAUCCCCGGGCUCAACCUGGGAAUUGCGGUUGUGACUGCAGUGCUGGAGUGCGGCAGAGGGGGAUGGAAUUCCGCGUGUAGCAGUGAAAUGCGUAGAUAUGCGGAGGAACACCGAUGGCGAAGGCAAUCCCCUGGGCCUGCACUGACGCUCAUGCACGAAAGCGUGGGGAGCAAACAGGAUUAGAAACCCGAGUAGUCC
rnacentral:rRNA from 1 species